CAAUAGCGUAUAUUAAAGUUGUUGCAGUUAAAAAGCUCGUAGUUGAAUUUUUGCUUGCCGCCGAUGUCGGAACUUCCGUACGUUCGGCGGCGUGCAUCCUUGGGUGGAACCUGUGUGGCAUUAGGUUGUCGUGCAGGGGAUGCUCAUCGUUUACUGUGAAAAAAUUAGAGUGUUCAAAGCAGGCUUACGCCGUUGAAUAUAUUAGCAUGGAAUAAUAAGAUAGGACCUUGGUACUAUUUUGUUGGUUUGCGCACUGAGGUAAUGAUUAACAGGGACAGUUGGGGGUAUUCGUAUUCCAUUGUCAGAGGUGAAAUUCUUGGAUUUCUGGAAGACGAACUACUGCGAAAGCAUUUACCAAGGAUGUUUUCAUUAA
rnacentral:rRNA from 1 species